UUUUUUCAUCCUCAUUCUCCAGGUGGACGCCUGACUUCUUCUUAAAUUCUUCAUCCUCAUUCUCCAGGUGGACGCCUGACUUCUUCUUUAAUUCUUCAUCCUCAUUCUCCAGGUGGACGCCUGACUUCUUCUUCAAUAUUUUUUUUUCAUCCUCAUUCUCCAGGUGGACGCUUGACUUCUUCUUUUCUUUUUCCUUCGCUCUGCUUUGUUCUUGCUUGCUGGGGAUAAUACCACUACGGUAGUUUUCUUUCUUCCCCUCCUUCAAAUUCAAUUUUUUUUUUCUCUUUUUUUUUCCAGAAUUUAUUUUCUCUCAACACUGCUGGGGAUAAAAGUGUUAUCUUCUUGGGAUAACGUCGUUGAGGAUAACGUUGCUGGGGAAUUUUAUCCCUUCAAAUCGAUGCUUCAUUCUUCUGGAAGCUCCUAGGGAUGAUAAUGGCUUUUGUUUUUCUGAGCACAAAUGUCAUCCCUUUGUUCUGUCUGCUGGGGAACAACUUCCUCCAUUGAAACUUAUUAUGUUGGGGGCAACCCUGGUUCAAAGACCACUUCCCUUGAGACUGG
rnacentral:lncRNA from 1 species